CAGCCGCCGCGGGAAUACGUAGGGUACAAGCGUUAAUCGGAAUUACUGGGCGUAAAGCGUGCGCAGGCGGUUUGUUAAGACAGAUGUGAAAUCCCCGGGCUCAACCUGGGAACUGCGUUUGUGACUGGCAGGCUGGAGUAUGGCAGAGGGGGGUGGAAUUCCGCGUGCAGCAGUGAAAUGCGUAGAUAUGCGGAGGAACACCGAUGGCGAAGGCAGCCCCCUGGGCCAAUACUGACGCUCAUGCACGAAAGCGUGGGGAGCAAACAGGAUUAGAUACCCCCGUAGUCCUGUCUCUUAUACA
rnacentral:rRNA from 1 species